GUUCACCUGCUCAGAAAAAAAUGCUCACCAUGUUGGAGCUUCAGUCAGUCACCUGAGAGGAAGGAAGACUGCUCCUGUCUGGACUCUGAAGACACAACUGUUUUAUCCUGUGUGGAGAGGCGGGGCACGCUGCAGCCCUGCCCAAGAUGGAGGUAAGGAGGCAAAGGAUGCAGCAGAGUGAAGAGGCGGAGUGCUCCGUGAGCGACACCCCCGCAAUCGAAUUCAGUCUCCCUGAGGUAAAAUGAUUUCUUGUUUUGGACUCUUGCCUUGCUCAGUGUGCCCUGGCCCUUUCACCCGCCAACCUCUGAGGAAGCUAUUUUGUCCUGAUUACAUGGUGUGCGUUUCUGCCCCAUCUGCCCUUACUUAUCCCU